GAUGAACGCUAGCGACAGGCUUAACACAUGCAAGUCGAGGGGCAGCACAGGUAGCAAUACCGGGUGGCGACCGGCGCACGGGUGAGUAACGCGUAUGCAACUUGCCUAUCAGAGGGGGAUAACCCGGCGAAAGUCGGACUAAUACCGCAUGAAGCAGGGGCCCCGCAUGGGGAUAUUUGCUAAAGAUUCAUCGCUGAUAGAUAGGCAUGCGUUCCAUUAGGCAGUUGGCGGGGUAACGGCCCACCAAACCGACGAUGGAUAGGGGUUCUGAGAGGAAGGUCCCCCACAUUGGUACUGAGACACGGACCAAACUCCUACGGGAGGCAGCAGUGAGGAAUAUUGGUCAAUGGGCGUAAGCCUGAACCAGCCAAGUCGCGUGAGGGAUGAAGGUUCUAUGGAUCGUAAACCUCUUUUAUAAGGGAAUAAAGUGCGGGACGUGUCCCGUUUUGUAUGUACCUUAUGAAUAAGGAUCGGCUAACUCCGUGCCAGCAGCCGCGGUAAUACGGAGGAUCCGAGCGUUAUCCGGAUUUAUUGGGUUUAAAGGGUGCGUAGGCGGCCUUUUAAGUCAGCGGUGAAAGUCUGUGGCUCAACCAUAGAAUUGCCGUUGAAACUGGGAGGCUUGAGUAUGUUUGAGGCAGGCGGAAUGCGUGGUGUAGCGGUGAAAUGCUUAGAUAUCACGCAGAACCCCGAUUGCGAAGGCAGCCUGCCAAGCCAUUACUGACGCUGAUGCACGAAAGCGUGGGGAUCAAACAGGAUUAGAUACCCUGGUAGUCCACGCAGUAAACGAUGAUCACUAGCUGUUUGCGAUACACUGUAAGCGGCACAGCGAAAGCGUUAAGUGAUCCACCUGGGGAGUACGCCGGCAACGGUGAAACUCAAAGGAAUUGACGGGGGCCCGCACAAGCGGAGGAACAUGUGGUUUAAUUCGAUGAUACGCGAGGAACCUUACCCGGGUUUGAACGCAUUUUGACAGCUCUGGAAACAGAGCCUCUAGCAAUAGCGAUUUGCGAGGUGCUGCAUGGUUGUCGUCAGCUCGUGCCGUGAGGUGUCGGCUUAAGUGCCAUAACGAGCGCAACCCUUGCCACUAGUUACUAACAGGUAAAGCUGAGGACUCUGGUGGGACUGCCAGCGUAAGCUGCGAGGAAGGCGGGGAUGACGUCAAAUCAGCACGGCCCUUACAUCCGGGGCGACACACGUGUUACAAUGGCGUGGACAAAGGGAGGCCACCUGGCGACAGGGAGCGAAUCCCCAAACCACGUCUCAGUUCGGAUCGGAGUCUGCAACCCGACUCCGUGAAGCUGGAUUCGCUAGUAAUCGCGCAUCAGCCAUGGCGCGGUGAAUACGUUCCCGGGCCUUGUACACACCGCCCGUCAAGCCAUGGGAGCCGGGGGCACCUGAAGUCCGUAACCGAAAGGAUCGGCCUAGGGUAAAACUGG
rnacentral:rRNA from 1 species